rnacentral:rRNA from 1 species
UACGCGUGGGAAUCUACCCUUUUCUACGGAAUAACGCAGGGAAACUUGUGCUAAUACCGUAUGUGUCCUUCGGGAGAAAGAUUUAUCGGGAAAGGAUGAGCCCGCGUUGGAUUAGCUAGUUGGUGGGGUAAAGGCCUACCAAGGCGACGAUCCAUAGCUGGUCUGAGAGGAUGAUCAGCCACAUUGGGACUGAGACACGGCCCAAACUCCUACGGGAGGCAGCAGUGGGGAAUAUUGGACAAUGGGCGCAAGCCUGAUCCAGCCAUGCCGCGUGAGUGAUGAAGGCCCUAGGGUUGUAAAGCUCUUUCACCGGAGAAGAUAAUGACGGUAUCCGGAGAAGAAGCCCCGGCUAACUUCGUGCCAGCAGCCGCGGUAAUACGAAGGGGGCUAGCGUUGUUCGGAAUUACUGGGCGUAAAGCGCACGUAGGCGGAUCGAUCAGUCAGGGGUGAAAUCCCAGGGCUCAACCCUGGAACUGCCUUUGAUACUGUCGAUCUGGAGUAUGGAAGAGGUGAGUGGAAUUCCGAGUGUAGAGGUGAAAUUCGUAGAUAUUCGGAGGAACACCAGUGGCGAAGGCGGCUCACUGGUCCAUUACUGACGCUGAGGUGCGAAAGCGUGGGGA